GGGAACGAUGCUCUCGUGGAAGCUCCUGGAUCAUAGAAGCACGAGUUGGAAGGGAGCUCUGCAGAUCGCCUAGUCCAGCCUCCCAUGCCUCGAGACAGGCCGCUGCCAGUACCACAUCAGUACCAGAUCAGCCACGGCUUUGUCUCGCCGAGAGAGAGCCUCUUAGGGCAGCCUGCUCCAGUGCUGCGUUACCUCACUAGCAACGCUCUCCUGUAAUGUCCACCCUGAACCUUGCAAGGCUGUGGCUGCUGCUGCUUGUGCUGUCCCCUGGCUCCAUUGGGAAGGGUUGGGCUCCAUUUUGGUAAAUACCCAUCAUGUAGUUGUAGGCAGCUGUUCUUACCUGUCCUGUGGACAUGUCCCCCAAGCCCUGUGCUGAAGGAAGCAGGGCAUGGAGCGGAGUGCACAUCCCUUCUCUUUUGUAUCCUUCCUGCAGCAUUUCUGUCCCACCUUCACUUCUCACAGCAAGUGGUAGCUCCUCACAAGGCUGCAUUCCCCAGGCUGGAGGCUGCACAGCUGUAGGCUCUCCUUGCAACAUGGUUCAUGGAAUGGCCCGGAGAAAAGCUUCCAGAAUUCAGCAUGUCCCUUUCCAAAGUCCUCCCCUCACUAAGGGCACCUUUCCAAAGAAGCAGCCACUACUUUGCUCUAUGAGCAGUGGCAAUCUGGCCUAGAGGAAGAGACAUGUUCCAGAGCUGGCACCUAAGAAGGAAAGUGCAGACGAUUUGCUUUCCCAGGUCUUGUGCCCGAACACUGGAACUGCAAGGUGGCCUCUGCUCUCCAGCAGCAUUGCUCCAGGCAUCCCCCCACUGAAGAUGAUGCCGGUCUCAAGCCCAAGGAGGGGACAAUGUGCCUUUUGCUUAAACAGAAUGUUCUCCGAGAUGAGAGAUGCUUCAGCUAGUUAGUGAUCGAGGCGAUAAGCCGCGCUGUCAUGCAGAUGAGACCGCUGGAGAGCCGAUGGCAAGUGAACAGAUGGUGGCUGGAACCUGGCUGUAGGUGGAGCCAUUUACAUUUAGGAAGGAUGGCAAUAUUGCUAUAAAUCAAGCUAUUUACUUCAGAUAAACGGAUGAAUAGCUCAAAAUAAAGUAAAUAAUUCAAAAAUGAAUAGAAUUAAAACCAGAUUAUAUUUGUUUCUA